CGCUGCCCCGGGCCUCCGACCCGGGUCGCGAGGGCGGUGUGGGACCAAGUUAAAGACGCGCCUAGGAGAAGCAAGAGGAAGCAGAAGGUGGACGUCUGGGUCUCAGCGCUGGAGGCGGCGCGGUGGCUACAAGUAGCUCAGGAAACUGUGGUAAUGAGCGGCUUCCUGCAGUAGCUCCGGGUAAAGCAGUUAGGAGCCGGGAAAAUCUGCUUCCUGCCGCUGCCGCGGGGAUCAGGAGGCAAAUUAGGAGGCGGGAACUGGGACUAAAAGAUGGGAUCCUUCCUUCGGGUAUGGAGAUAAAACGGGGCACUCGGACACCCAAAAGGGUCAUGCUCCAGGAAUUAAGAUGUGAACAUUUGUGUUGGCCCAGGACUGUCCACACCUUACCUGACCGAUUCCAACCGUAACAGCGUACUCCUGGGCAUCCUCCUGCUAUCCUAGCAGCUGCCAUCUCCACAGACCGCCCCCCACCUAGCCCACUCUUCCUCUGGCUUGUCUGGGUCAUCUUGACUCCUGAACACCUGUCGCCUUGUUUCGUGACCCCUCUACUCACCUAGGAGGGCCAGGAGACCAGACAGCAGCAUACCGAGCGCGGACCAGCGUGCAUCCCGGAAGCAGAGAAAUGCAGGAGAUGCCCCUGCCACUUUCAACGUGCAGACCAUGGUGGAUGCCUUUCGGAGUGACUGGUGGUAAGCAGUGCCUCAAAUCCCCUUCUGUCCACCAGGGCCACGUGGAAGAGAUGUAGUCUGCUGAGAUCCAUGUGGUAAACUGAGGCAGCACAGAGCCCUUUACUCUGGGUUGAAGCCAAAAAGAAGACAUGGUAGCUCGGGGCUACAAGAAAUACCAAACUUGACUAUUGCCCAUGGUGCCUUGGACACCUGAGCGCCUGAACAGUCCACUGUCAUCCAAAGUGGAUGCAAGACCAUGCCAGGAAGGAUGUGGGCAACGCCCCCAGGAGAUGGGGGAGAGGUGGUGAGCACAGAAUUGAAGAGACGCAGUGGUCAGUGGCUCCAAGAGCAGCAGCAGAUGUGAAAAGUCUCCUUGUGAGGAAGAAGGAGAAAAGGGAUGGACAGCCCUAUGAUCCUGAAGCAGGAGGAAAUGCAAAUGUAGCAAAUAAAUAAGCUAAGCUGAAAGCUCUGCACAGAACGAAGCUGUGCCUGUCCCUGGGGGAACUUCGGCUUGUGAGCUAAUAGGGCAACAUAAACUCACUGUUCUGUCUGCAGAGAGCUGCCACUGACCCAGUUGGAGGAAGGGGCUUCUCAGCUGGCUGUGCAGCAGAGUCUUGGCUGAGAGGGAGAUUCCACACUAAAGAGGUGGUGUAUUGGAGGGCCAAGCAGCUUCGUUUUCUGAUGCCUGCCCUUAUCUUAAAACCUAGCCCUCCCUGAGAUACAAAUCCCAGCCAUAAACAAAUCUGUGGAUAUAGAGAGCUAAGUUUAGAAAGACUUAGCAGGAGACAAAAAGCACACCACUUAACAGAAUACAACAGAAAAAUAGUUCACUAGGUUUAAAGUUGUUAGCCAGGUCAUUGACAGAUCAGAAGAAAUUUGAGGUAUCAUUGUUAGGAAAUUGAUCAUGUUAAAGUACGCUGUGACGCCGCCU